ACUCUGUCUCUACAAAAAAAAAAAAAAAAAAAUGCAUGAACGUUUUAAACAUUCUUCAAUUUGGCAAUACUUCAUUGAGCACAACUAUGUGUCAGGCAUUUUAACAGAAGGCAGUUCUACGUAAAGUAGCUUAUUCUUAUUCCUUAUGCUAUUCUCACUUUAACUUGUAGAAAGUAAUUUUACUUUUAAUAAAAGUUUAUUUUAUUAGAAAAUGCCUUUAUUAGAAAAGGUCAAUGAGAGAUCAUUGAUGCCUUUCUUGCUACUUUAACUGUUAUAAUCUUUUGACAUUUUUCUGAAUUGUGUGUAAAAUUCUAACCCUUGGAGUAGAACUAGAGCAAUGCUGCUGAAAGAACAGUGAUCCUUCAUAGUCUUAAAUAGUUUGGCAAUUUCAAAGAGGAAAAAAGGCAAUGAAAUUUUUUUCUACUUAUGUCAAAUAGAUUUUGCAAAUCUUAGGUACAUUUGUUUGUAAUUCAUAUGUUAUAUUUUUUAAUAUUUUGUAAAUUUUAAAUAACAUGAUUUUAAUAAUCCCAUUCAGUUUUUUUUUUUUUCCUGAGACAGAGUCUCACUUUGUCACUCUCAGAAUGCAGUGGUGUCAUAGCUCACAGCAACCUGAACUCCCGAGCUCAAGCGAUUCUCUUGCCUCAGCCUCCCUAGUAGCUGGGAUUACAGGCACCUACUGCAAAGCUUUGCUAUUUUUAGAGGUGAGGUUUCACUCUAGCUCAGGCCAUCUGCUUGCCUGGGCUUCCCAGAGUGCUGGGAUUACAGGUGUGAACCACCACUCCUGGCCUCCUGUUCAGUUUUUAACAGUGUUAUUUAUUGUAGGUACAUAUGUUGACAAUGAAGGUUGUCGGUCUGUUUAAUCUCAGACAACAUGAAGUUAACAGGGUGUUAAGAUGACUAAUGUUCUUUCUGAGUAAUUUUAAUACUUGUUAACUUCCAUUUUAUGGUGGUUACUCUUAUAUUCUCCAAUUCACAAAAUUGGCUUAGUAAAAAAUGAUGACAAUAACAUAAUUCAUAAAAAUACCAUAAUGUAAGUAAAGAACUUCAUUGUGAAUAUAAAAUUAGAAUACGCAUGUAGAUUGUGGUUUUUUUUUUUUCAGUUAGCUGUAUGUAGAUUCUGUGAUUUUUUUUUUUUUUUUUUUUUUCAGUCAUCUGAAAUAGAUAAGGAAGGAUAAUGAUGACUUUUGUUGGGCCUGUACUUCAUUCAUUGCUGGUCAGGAGCACAUUACCUUUCAAAUAUUUACAUGGCACCAUCAAAAUUGUGAUCAUUUUUAAAGCAUGUUUCUCUUGUGAUUUUAGUUAGGUAAUACUUUAUGAAGAAGUGUAAAAUAAUAUGUCACAGUUUAAAAUUUUUAGGUAAUAUUACAGUCCAAAUUUAUAGAAGAGUCCAAAAUUAUUGAAGCAUCAUCCAGAGUUAUAUUUCUUAAACCAAUAUGGUAUAUGAUAAUGGUUCCAAGAAGUUUGUAAAAUGUCUCAACGUUGUAACAAAUAUAAUUGUGAGAGGGAGAGUUCAGUUCUGAGUUAUUCAGUGGACCUGGUUUGAUUCACCCAACAGAAGUAGCAAGUUCAGCUGAGUCAAAGGGAGAGCAAGAAAAUGAGAUCAAAAAAUGAGGCAGCUGAGACUCCAUUGUAGCUGAAUGGAAGCAAAGUUUUUAUUGAAAGUGAAGAACAAGAGUAAAGGAAAGCAUAAACAGAUUUUUUUCAGAGAGUGGAAAAGGAUCCCCCUCACAAGUGAGCGGAGACCCCACACAAAAGCCGUAUACUAAUAUGAGUACUUUUAUCCCAAUUCCUCCUUCAUUUAUAAGAAUUCCCAUUAGUUCCCCUUAGGCUUCAGUUGUCACACAAAUCCAGUUUUCUUUACUCUGUAUCCAUAAUUAUAACUGUUACUUUACUAGUGAUGGUAUGGCAUUCAUACAUGCCAUACACAUUCAUAUAUGCCAUACAUGUUCAAUUAGAAUAGAAAAGAUUCCUAUUAGAAUAGCAGAGGAAUCACAACCUUUGUUAGUCUCCUGAUGUUUGUGACAACCAUACCAUUCAUUGUUCUAUGACUGGGGGAUCCUUGUCUUUGUGUUGUGGGGCCCUUUUCACAGGCUAAAGGUCAUGGGUCACCAGCUAGAAGUUACACUUUAUAGGAACAGCAUACACUUGAUUAUGUUACACCACCCCAAAUUUCUUAUUUUGCUUCAGGCUCCUUUCCAAAUUUCUUUGGCCUCUUUCUAGAGGCCAUAAUUCUCUCCCACCUCCCUGUAGCUCCUUUAACCUCCUUUCAUCCCUAAUCCAUAAAAAGAAAGAAAACAACUAUUGGAAAACUUCUAUUGCACAAUUCAGUGACAAGGUGGAAGAGCGAUUCCUUUCAUGUGCAUUCUAGAAGAUAUUCAAACAAAACCACUGAUCUGCAGUAUAUGAAUCAUUUUGACGUGUGUGUUGUAUGUAUGAAAAGUUCAAAGCAACUUCUUAUUCAUUUUAUUCCUGAAAAUCCAUGAACAUUGAAAAUGAAGGCUACAGUGGAAAGUAAGUUUUGAAAGGAUGUGUCAUGACCUUUAAUGAUGGAUCACCAUUUAGGCAGCAAUGAAGAUGAUUGUUGAGUAAAUGAAAAGACUUAUAUGCAAAAAAGCUAAUCACAUUUCUUUCUUAAGAGAGAGGAGGUAAUAACCAUAAACCAUCAGGAUGGUGAUUCAGUGUUUAAGGGAGUAGAAAAAAUAAUCUAAUUUUGUUCCCUUAAGUAUAUUAUUAUUAUAAUCCUGUAUGAAAAACUGGGCAGGAAAUUACAAAACUUUUUUUUUUCCCUUUGGUACUUCUUGUAUAGAGGAAAAGUGUUCACAUGAGGUUUUAAGAUAAGGGUAGAGAUAAAAAACAUUUCUUUGAGACAUCAUUAAUAUUUGUAAAGGGCUUUUACUUAAUUUUAGGUACCUUACACAAGUGGCAUAUCAACCAAGCCACUGUCUUCUGUCAUUACUCCAAGUCCAUAAUGUGAUUUCUUUUUUUUUUUUUUUUUUUGUAGAGACAGAGUCUCACUUUAUGGCCCUUGGUAGAGUGCUGUGGCAUCACAGCUCACAGCAACCUCCAACACCUGGACUUAGGUGAUUCUCUUGCCUUAGCCUCCCGAAUAGCUGGGACUACAGGCGCCCACCACAACGCCCAGCUAUUUUUUUGUUGCAGUUUGCUGGGGCUAGGUUUGAACCUGCCACCCUUGGUAUAUGGGGCCAGCGCCCUACUCACUGAGCCACAGGCACUGCCCCAUAAUGUGAAUUUUAAUGGGAAGGACAUCAGAUUAUCUUAAGAUUACAUAACUCUAAUGCAAAUGGCAGUUCUACAGAGUUUCAUUCUGCUCCCCCAUCUCAUUCUUUUGGUUCAUCAUAGAAACAUACUUUAGGACUAAUAUAAACCACAUUCAGAUAUUGUAGCAUAACAUGAAAGAAUAUUUUCCUUAGCCAAUCGCAAAGGACAGACUGUAAACCUUUUUAACAUUGUCAACAGCUACAUUUUUCUUUUGGUGACCCUAGGUAAAAAAAAUUACUAUGAGAUAAAGUAUAUGAUGAAAACAUAAUUUUACAUGAGGUUCAGUUAAAAUAGAAAAGAUUCCUAUUAGAAUAGCAGAGGAAUUACAACCUUUUUAUUUUAUAUAAAUAUUAUACUAUAAUAUAGAGCAGAAUUGGAGGAAAAAUAAGGCUGCUUAAUGAUUCUUAUAAAGGUUCAACAAGUUGUACAUUAAAAGCCUAUGCUGAGCUGACUUUGUAUACUGUUAAAAAAAAAAAAAAGCAGUUAUCACCUUUUCACACAAGCAAUUGGACUGGAAUCAUCACCUGCAUUUUAACAACCACAAAUCUUUUCAUACCCCUGUGAUCUGGCAAUGUAUUCAGUGAUGGCUUCACUAUCUCCUUUUACUUUCCACCUAAAGAUUUAGUUUGAAACCUUUUCAGCACUAGAGUGAGAAAACUUAAAAAGUUUGUUUACUUUCUAUGAAUGAUAAUUACUAACAUUUAUAAAAUAACAUUAGUGGACAAUCUAGAAGCGUGUAGAGUAAGGACAUGUUUUUAUACAAUUUCUGUUUGGGGAAGAUUUUUAUCAGAUUAUUUCAAUCUUUGCAUUAUCAUUAGUAAAUGUAUAAAUGUCGUAUUUUUAUAUCUAAAUUCAAAUGGCUUGCUGUCAUGUCUUCCUUCAUUUUAUAGGUUAGUUUGUAUAAGGCUGGCAUUUUUGAAGAUCUUGCACUUGCGCAUCAGGGAAAGUUGUAAGAGUUGUUUGGAAAUAUAUUUAAAAUAACCUUUUGGGGCCCGGUGCAGUGGCUCAUGCCCAUAAUACCAGCACUUGGGAGGCUGAGGCCAGUAGAUUGCCUGAUCUCACAGGUUCGAGACCAGCCUGAGCCAGAGUGAAAGCUCAUCUCUAAAAAUAGCCAGGUGUUGUGGCGGGCACCUGUAGUCCCUGCUACUUGGGAGGGUGAGCCAAGACAGUCGCUUAAGCUCAGGAAUUUGAGGUUGCUGUGAGCUAUGACAACACAGCACUCUACCAAGGGUGACAAAGUAAGACUUUCUAAAUACAUACAUACAUACACUAAUUUUUGAUCUUAUUGCUACAAAGAGAUUAGAAUGUUUUUCUGUUAAUUUUUUUUAAUCCAUUUUCUUAGGUUGAAUAUUUUAUAAGUUCAUCUUUAAGAACGUGUUUUCAGAAAAUUCUAUAUGGUACAAAAUUUAACAAUAAAUAUGACUUUUUUAGUAAAUAAAAAUAAAUACUAUUUGUGUAUAUCAGAAAGAAUGGAUAUAUGUAAAUACACAUAAACAUAUGUAUAUAUACCUUUUAUUUUAUGCUGUAUACAUGUAUUAUCUAGUCAAAACAGAUAUAAAGACAAAUGUUAGUGAAGAAUCAACCUAACCCAAGGAAAUAGCUCACCUAUGCCAUUAUGCCUUUAGCAACUAGGAAGAUAUCUCUAGGCUCCUAUAAAGGUCUGCCAGAUACUAAUGUUACUACUGGGUGCUUUGGCCAUGAAACAAUCUUAACAAUUUGAUUUAUGAUGGCGGUUUUGGGCCACACCAUAUCAGUUUCUACUUCUAGAGGAACUGGAGAUCAAAGAUAUUAACCCAUCUGUAAACUAGAGGUCAGCCACACAAACAAUAGGUGAUCCUUCCCUGAUAAAAACUGGACAUCAAGGACCAGGUGAGUAUUGUCCAUGACUCCAUGAGAGAGCAACUGAAAGCUCCGUAUUUGGAUCCUUCUUACACUCGGCCCUACAUGUCUCUGAUGCUUAAUUUUAAAGGUAAACUUGACUGGAUUGAGGGAUGUCCACAUAGCUGGUAAAGCGUUAAUGGUGGGUAUGUUUGUGAGAGUGUUUCCAGAAGAGGUUGGCAUUUGAAUAAAUGGACCAAGAAUGGAAGAUCUACCCUCACCCAAUAUGUUGGGCACUGUCCAGUUGGCUGAUGGCCAAACAAAAAUGUGGAUGAAAAGCAAAUUUGUUCACUUUCUCUCUUCAUCUUCUGGAGCUGGGACUCCUAUCUUCUGCUCUUGGACACCAAAACUCCAGGUCCUCCAACUCUUAGACUCUGGGAUUUGCACCAGUGGCCCCCUGAUUCUCAGGCCUUUGGCCUUGAACUGAGAAUUACACCAUGAACUCCCUCGGUUCUCAGGCUUUUAGACUUGGACUGAGCCAUGCUCCCAGCCUCCCUGAUUUCUCCAGCUUGCAGAUAGUAUAUCACGGACUUCUCAGCCUCUGUAAUCAUUGAUCCAAGAGACCGAGGUGGGAUGAUUGAGCCCAGGAAUUGAAUGCUUCAGUGAGCUAUGAUCAUGCCACUGGAUUUCAGCCUGGAUGAUAGAUUGAGACCCCUUCUCUAAAAAGAAAAUGAGAUAAAAAGACACCACUUUGGUCCAUUCCAUUGAUGACUAUGCUGAAUGGAGCUAGAAAACAAGAAGUAGCAACUAUUCGAGAUUUAUUGGUAGACUUCUGCAGUAAUAUCAGUUAAGAGUCAAGUUGGAUGACUGCUAUAAAUUAGGACCCAGAGGCAAAUAAGGGUUUUAUAGACAAAAGGAACAACGUACCAGCUUGAAAAUAAAACCAAACCAUCUUGCAAGAAGACUUAAAGCAAAUGGAACAAUAAAGAAAAAGGAAUUUGGCUGGAAGCAUGAAGCUAAAAUCUCCAAACACCAUCAGCUCCGUCCGGCUCAGCGGGUCAGUCUGGGGCCCUAGACAAUGCCAAAAGUUCUCUGCACUCCUGCUCAAGCUCUCCCCAAGGCAGUUCAACUGAGUGCCAAGUCCAAAAACACCAACAUAGUUCACAGAAUCAUCGUAACAUCUCAAAUCUAGAAGAGGUUUUGGAGAAUAUUAACCUUCAUCAUUUGUCAAAUGAAGAGUAAGAAUCUCAGAAAAACUAGGGGACUAAGGUAAAAGUCAUAUGGUAUGUUAAGACAUCAUACAUGAUUCCAUGUUAUGAAAUAUCAAGGACAAAACAUAAUAAUGAUUAAAAAAUUACUUGUCUAUUUCGGUCGUCCUAAAUGUCCUGGAUUUCCAUUAUGGAUAGCAAACCAUAUUAGAAACUGAUGAGGAAACAUCAUCAAGUAAUAGCAUUGUUCUUGCCCUCUAGGAGGUAAAUAUGUGGGGAAAAUAUUUGCUGUACCAUCUAUAGAAUGUAAUAUAAAAAGUUGUCAGUAAUGGAUGAAGGAAGGAUUAAAUAAUUUUAGUCAACAAAAUUUCUUUUCUUUAUUACAUGGUAAAAUUAGUAACAGAAAAGCUAAUCAAGGGAUUGUAUAGAUUAAUAGUUUUAAACAAAGCAGUCGAAGCUAUUAUUAUGUGCUAGGUGGCAUAAGACUUCACUUUAACCAAAAUAAUUUUGUUGUCAAAAAGGCUUGAGAGGAGGAUUGGGAAAUUUAGCGAGAUUUUCCCCAUUUUUCUUCAUUUAAGAAAUCUUUUAUUUCUCACUCCAUACUAGAAAGAGAUAAAUAUCCACAAAGCCACUUUGAAACGAAUGCAUAUGAAAACAGUAGUUCUUAGAUACUUAAUCUAAUGGCACAAAGUUAAAAAAGAAACUAUAUACAGUGUGCAUAUAACUCAUCUCAGGUUAUUGACAUGAGAUAAAUUUGGGGUGGGGUGGGGUAAUAGUUAAUAAAGGAAUUUAUUGAGAAUAGAGAAAGAGGAAUAUAACAUAGUUUCCCUUUAAGUAAUAUAUUUGAAUUUAAAAAAAAUGCUUCUGGUUGUACGUGGGAUAAAAGGCAGAUAUGGAAAACCAUGUUAUGUUAGAAAAGAAACCAAGUAAACUGCAAACUUUAUAUUAAGUCACCAUGAUUAAGGAAUGCUAGUACAAUUUUGAACUAUGAUUAACUGUCAGGAGACAAUUUAUAUUUGUUCCAUUCAGUAUUGAAUAAUUGUUAGGUGCGUUACCCAUAGGACCUGAAAAGCAUGUUCCCACAGAGUAGUAAAUGAUUCUGAAUCUGGCCACAGUGUGGAGAUGUUGCCACACAGAUUUACCUUGCCAUCCUGCAGGAAUGCUGAGUUCUUAUACUGGAACAUGGAUUUCCACUGCCUGCCCAGUUUUUCCUUUCCAUUUUAUACUAUCUUAUCAUAAACUAGAGCUUGCAUUUUCUAGUAAAAUUUCACAAAUUUGCAUGAUAAAGUUUUUCUUUGGCACACUUUUUCUUGGUAGGGAACAUUUGAA